CGCGUAGGCGGGUCUUCAAGUUUGGGGUGAAAUCCUCCGGCUCAACCGGAGAACUGCCUCGAAUACUGAAGGUCUCGAGGGGGAUAGGGGCAUGCGGAACUACGGGUGGAGCGGUGAAAUGCGUUGAUAUCCGUAGGAACUCCGGUGGCGAAGGCGGCGUGCUGGAUCCCUUCUGACGCUGAGGCGCGAAAGCCAGGGGAGGCAAACG
rnacentral:rRNA from 1 species